CCUACGGGAGGCAGCAGUGAGGAAUAUUGGUCAAUGGACGCAAGUCUGAACCAGCCAUGCCGCGUGCAGGAAGACGGCUCUAUGAGUUGUAAACUGCUUUUGUACGAGGGUAAACGCAGAUACGCGUAUCUGUCUGAAAGUAUCGUACGAAUAAGGAUCGGCUAACUCCGUGCCAGCAGCCGCGGUAAUACGGAGGAUUCAAGCGUUAUCCGGAUUUAUUGGGUUUAAAGGGUGCGUAGGCGGUUGGAUAAGUCAGUGGUGAAAGCCCGAGGCUCAACCGCAGAAUUGCAUCUGAGACUGUUCGGCUAGAGAAUAGUAGCGGUAGGCGGAAUGUGUGGUGUAGCGGUGAAAUGCUUAGAGAUCAUACAGAACACCGAUUGCGAAGGCAGCUUACCAGGCUACAACUGACGUUGAGGCACGAAAGCGUGGGGAUCAAACAGGAUUAGAUACCCUUGUAGUC
rnacentral:rRNA from 1 species